UACGUAGGGCGCAAGGCGUUGUCCGGAAUUAUUGGGCGUAAAGAGCUCGUAGGCGGCUUGUCACGUCGGGUGUGAAAGACCGGGGCUUAACCCCGGUUCUGCAUUCGAUACGGGCUGGCUAGAGUGUGGUAGGGGAGAUCGAAUUCCUGGUGUAGCGGUGAAAUGCGCAGAUAUCAGGAGGAACACCGGUGGCGAAGGCGGAUCUCUGGGCCAUUACUGACGCUGAGACGCGAAAGCGUGGGGAGCGAACAGG
rnacentral:rRNA from 1 species